CAAUCGAACCCGGAGAUAGCUGGUUCUCCUCGAAAUAGCUUUAGGGCUAGCCUCGCAUUAGUUUACCGGAGGUAGAGCACUGAAUGGUCUAGGGGGCCUCACCGCCUACCGAAACCUAUCAAACUGCGAAUGCCGGAUAAAUGAUGUGCGGGAGUCAGGCCGCGAGAGAUAAGUUCCGCGGUCAAAAGGGGAACACCCCAGAUCGUCUGCUAAGGUCCCCAAGUACGCGUUAAGUGGGAAAGGAUGUUGGAUUGCACAGACAACCAGGAUGUUGGCUUAGAAGCAGCCACACAUUCAAAGAGUGCGUAAUAGCUCACUGGUCGAGUGAUCCAGCGCCGAAAAUGUAACGGGGCUAAAACGCGACACCGAAGCAGCGGGAUGCGUAAGCAUCGGUAGAGGAGCAUUGUGUGAGGAUAGAAGCCGGAGCGAGAGCACUGGUGGACUUCACAGAAGAGAGAAUGCCGGUAUGAGUAGCGAGACCCAUGCGAGAAACAUGGGCGUCGAAGGCCCAAGGUUUCCUGGGGAAGGUUCAUCCACCCAGGGUAAGUCGGGACCUAAGCCGAGGACUGAGGUCGUAGGCGAUGGACAGCAGGUAGAGAUUCCUGCACCACUUACACUUGUUUGACGAAGCAGUGACACAGAAGGAUAGGACGAGCGCGGUGAUGGUCAACCGCGUAGGCGGCACGAGGCUGGGGAGCAGUAAAGUACACUUCCCGGGAAGGCUGAGUGCUGACAGGACCGAAAAAGAGUAGGGAAGCGUCUGAGUUCACGCUGGCGAGAAAAGCUGCUAAGGAGAGUGUGAGUGCCCGUACCGGAAACCGACGCAGGUGGGCGAGGAGAGAAUCCUGAGACGGACGGGAGAACUCUUGUUAAGGAACUCGGCAAAAUGACCCCGUAACUUCGGGAGAAGGGGUGCCUCGAAAGAGGCCGCAGAGAAUAGUCACAAGCGACUGUUUAGCAAAAACACAGGUAUCUGCGAAAGCGAGAGCUGACGUAUAGGUGCUGACGCCUGCCCGGUGCUGGAAGGUUAAGGGGAAGUGUUAGGGGGAACCCGAAGCAGAGAACCGAAGCCCCAGUAAACGGCGGCCGUAACUAUAACGGUCCUAAGGUAGCGAAAUUCCUUGUCGGGUAAGUUCCGACCCGCACGAAUGGCGUAACGACUUGUGAGCUGUCUCAACAGGAGGCCCGGUGAAAUUGAAGUAUGUGUGAAGAUGCACAUUACCCGCGACUGGACGGAAAGACCCCGUAGAGCUUUACUGUAACCUGACAUUGGAUCUUGAUAACGGAUGCACAGGAUAGGUGGGACGCUGGGAGGUAUGGACUUUGGUCUGUACGGAGCGGACGUUGGGAUACCACUCUUCUGUUAUUGAGAUUCUAACCUCAAGCCGUAAGCCGGAUGAGAGACAGUGUCAGGCGGACAGUUUGACUGGGGCGGUCGCCUCCGAAAGAGUAACGGAGGCGCCCAAAGGUACCCUCAGAAUGGAUGGAAACCAUUCGAAGAGAGCAAAGUCAGAAGGGUGCUUGACUGCGAGACCAACAAGUCGAGCAGGUACGAAAGUAGGGCUUAGUGAUCCGGCGGUAAGAGAGUGGAAUUGCCGUCGCUCAACGGAUAAAAGCUACCUCGGGGAUAACAGGCUGAUCUCCCCCAAGAGUCCACAUCGACGGGGAGGUUUGGCACCUCGAUGUCGGCUCAUCGCAUCCUGGGGCUGUAUUCGGUCCCAAGGGUUUGGCUGUUCGCCAAUUAAAGCGGCACGCGAGCUGGGUUCAGAACGUCGUGAGACAGUUCGGUCCCUAUCCAUCGUGGGCGAAGGACACAUGAGAGGAGCUGCUCCUAGUACGAGAGGACCGGAGUGGACGCAUCACUGGUGCAACUGUUGUCGUGCCAACGGCACAGCAGGGAAGCGAAAUGCGGAUGGGAUAAACGCUGAAGGCAUCUAAGCGUGAAGCCCACCUCAAGAAUAAGUGUCCCAUUCGAAAGAAGUAAGACCCCUGGAAGACUACCAGGUGAUAGGUCAUCGGUGAAAGAGCGGUAACGUUUGGAGCUUGAUGAUACUAAUCGGUCGAGGACUUGAUCUA
rnacentral:rRNA from 1 species